rnacentral:rRNA from 1 species
UACGUAGGGACCGAGCGUUGUCCGGAUUCAUUGGGCGUAAAGAGCUCGUAGGCGGCUAUUCAAGUCGAACGUGAAAUCUCGGAGCUCAACUCCGGAACUGCGUUCGAUACUGGGUAGCUAGAGUCUGGUAGGGGGAUCUGGAAUUCCCGGUGUAGCGGUGAAAUGCGCAGAUAUCAGGAGGAACACCGGUGGCGAAGGCGGGUCUCUGGGCCGAAAUUGACGCUGAGGAGCGAAAGCGUGGGGAGCAAACAGG